rnacentral:rRNA from 1 species
GAUGAACGCUGGCGGCGUGCCUAAUACAUGCAAGUCGAGCGAACAGACGAGGAGCUUGCUCCUCUGACGUUAGCGGCGGACGGGUGAGUAACACGUGGAUAACCUACCUAUAAGACUGGGAUAACUUCGGGAAACCGGAGCUAAUACCGGAUAAUAUAUUGAACCGCAUGGUUCACUAGUUAAAGACGGUUUUGCUGUCACUUAUAGAUGGAUCCGCGCCGCAUUAGCUAGUUGGUAAGGUAACGGCUUACCAACGCAACGAUGCGUAGCCGACCUGAGAGGGUGAUCGGCCACACGGGAACUGAGACACGGUCCAGACUCCUACGGGAGGCAGCAGUAGGGAAUCUUCCGCAAUGGGCGAAAGCCUGACGGAGCAACGCCGCGUGAGUGAUGAAGGUCUUCGGAUCGUAAAACUCUGUUAUUAGGGAAGAACAAAUGUGUAAGUAACUAUGCACGUCUUGACGGUACCUAAUCAGAAAGCCACGGCUAACUACGUG